AUCAAUUAGCUAAAGUCUUUGUCCGAACAGUUCAUGUUGAAGCUGUAGGCUAGUUAGAGAAAUAUUUCAAUCUAUGGAAGAUGUGGAACAUUUUACUGUUUGAAUGGAGUUUCUAGGUGAAAGUAUGAAUGAGCAGUGAAGAGUUGAAAAUGCUUGAAAAUGUUUAAAUUCGGAACAUUGUCUUCCAUUCAUUUCAAUGGAGAAUUUUUGAUGAAUUACGGUUAAUAAUUCUGAAAAUAUGAAAGUUAUGAAUGAGAGAAGUAAUAGCCAUCGAUUCCUAAUUGAGCUGCACGUUUUGAUGUUUGAAUGGAGUUUCUAUUUUGAAAAAUUCUGAUUACUGUCCCAAAGGAAUGAGAUUUUUCAUGGAUAGCAGCAACAGCAGGACUGUUGAAACUUGUCUGAGGUAUUUCAGACACUUACAGUAAAGUACAUGUGAGGUAAAACCAACCAGGCUGCCAAGAAGAAUAUUACCCCUCAUACCACCACUUACACAAACCACAGACUGACUCUCUGGUGGUGAAACUGGUCUGACUCCAUGUUGAAACCUGGAUCUAUAGAAACGCACAUCCUGCCCAGACACAUCUCACUAACUCUCCCACGCAGUUUUUAGGGUGUGUUUACUCCGGGCGUGUUUGGAUUCAGGAGGUGUAGCCUAUAUUGGAUUAGGGAGUGGUUGGUUUGGUUCAUUCGACCUUAAUGAGAACACAGAUGCAAAAAAACAACGCAAAGUGA